CUGCGAUUGCUACAAGUUGAAUUUAUUUAAGUGGAGUGCUUGACGCUUCAAACGGAAAGGCCGAAUGGUCAUAAUUCUUGCCUGAUUUUAGAAGACUAUUUGCCAAUAUUGAUAGAAGUGCCACAUCUAUUUAGAAACAAAUAACCCAUUAAUAAUAUUAUCAACCCAUGUUAACCCAUGGGUAGAUCGCAGCGGACCUCAACCAUGCCCCCCGAGGUCCCCAGAUUUAAAUAGUUUGGACUUUUUCUUAUGAGGACAUGCCGGUAUAAGAACUUCAUGCGAUUUAAUGAGAAACACUGGAGGUGUGCUUUAAAUAGUGCGCGGCAAUAUGAGGGAAACAGCUGAAGCCCGUAUCCUUCAAAUUGGAGGACACUUUCAACAACUUAUCUAGUUUCUAUGUUUCACUUCGUUUCCAAAAGUUUUUUAUUAAUUUAUUAAUCUAAAAUUUUGUUAAAAAAAUUAUUAGUAUCAUUAAAUCAUUUAUUAUUUA